UGGGAACUCCGGUUUGCAAAAAAAGAAGAUAUAAAGAUCAACCUCAUGAUUGGUGGAUUACAUAUGGAGGAAUCGAUACCCCAAACCUACAAAAAUUUGCAAUAAGGGUAUUGAGUCUUACUUGUUCUGCUUCCCCGUGUGAGCGAAACUGGAGCACAUUUCAGAAUUUGCAUUCAAAGAAGCGAAAUCGCAU